UACGGGGGGGGUAAGCGUUGUUCGGAAUUACUGGGCGUAAAGGGCUCGUAGGCGGCCAACUAAGUCAGACGUGAAAUCCCUCAGCUUAACUGGGGAACUGCGUCUGAUACUGGAUGGCUUGGAUUCGGGAGAGGAAUGCGGAAUUCCAGGUGUAGCGGUGAAAUGCGUAGAUAUCUGGAGGAACACCGGUGGCGAAGGCGGCAUUCUGGACCGACAUUGAUGCUGAGGAGCGAAAGCCAGGGGAGCAAACGGG
rnacentral:rRNA from 1 species